GAGCCGCUAGCUCAGUGGAAGAGCAUCUGACUUUUAAUCAGAGGGUCGUGGGUUCGAAUCCCACGCGGCUCA
rnacentral:tRNA from 1 species